CAGCUGCACAGCUCCAGACAAUCAUUGUCAAGGACGGAAAUGAGAUUCUAACACGGCUGAUCUGAUUUUCCAAGAAAGGUGAAAGACCAAAAUUCAUGGAAGAGAAGUGAGUCACACAGGGAGCCAGUGGCAGAGCCACACCCCACAGAGCAAUCAGUGUGCUCUACUCUGCAGACCUGCAACAGAGAGGGAAGCCAGACUCAGAUGCAAGAAGGAAAGACCAUGUGUUGGCUCAGUGUGUGCAGCCUGGAGUGAGCUAUUGAACUCUAAAUCCAAGGAUGACUAAUGUGAGCCUAAAGGGUAAUCUGCAAAUACUGCUCCAUUAAUAUUCAAUGAUAGAUGAUAUUGCUUUAGAAUCAAAUUCACAUAAACGGAAGCUUCAGCUGUACGUCAGCACCCUGGGAACAUUAAAUUGUAGGCCACGUCUUGUA
rnacentral:antisense_RNA from 1 species